GACGAACGCUGGCGGCGUGCUUAACACAUGCAAGUCGAGCGAUGAAGUUUUUUCGGAAAUGGAUUAGCGGCGAACGGGUGAGGAACACGUGAAGAAUCUGCCCUCCACUUUGGGAUAACACAGGGAAACCUGUGCUAAUACCGAAUAUUGAAACAUAAGUGGCAUCACUGAGUUUUGAAAGACUUUCGGUGGAGGAUGACUUCGCGGCCUAUCAGCUAGUUGGUGAGGUAAUGGCUCACCAAGGCAACGACGGGUAGCCGGCCUGAGAGGGCGACCGGCCACACUGGGACUGAGACACGGCCCAGACUCCUACGGGAGGCAGCAGUGGGGAAUAUUGGGCAAUGGAGGAAACUCUGACCCAGCGACGCCGCGUGCGGGAUGAAGGCCUUCGGGUUGUAAACCGCUUUCAGUAGGGAAGAAGCGAAAGUGACAGUACCUACAAAAGAAGCACCGGCUAACUAUGUGCCAGCAGCCGCGGUAA
rnacentral:rRNA from 1 species